rnacentral:rRNA from 1 species
AGAGAGAGACAUGCGCGCAUAUCAAUAAGCGGAGGAAAAGAAACUAACAAGGAUUCCCCUAGUAACGGCGAGUGAAGCGGGAAGAGCUCAAAUUUGAAAUCUUAAAGGGUUUCCCUUUACGAAUUGUAGUUUAAAGAAGUGUUUUCUGUUGAGGUUUUGGUAAAAGUUCUUUGGAAUAGGACAUCAUAGAGGGUGAGAAUCCCGUAUUUGACCAUUACUUUCCAACUUUGUGAUACACUUUCAAAGAGUCGGAUUGUUUGGGAAUGCAGUCCAAAAUGGGUGGUAAAUCUCAUCUAAAGCUAAAUAUUGGCGAGAGACCGAUAGCGAACAAGUACCGUGAGGGAAAGAUGAAAAGAACUUUGAAAAGAGAGUUAAACAGUACGUGAAAUUGUCAAAAGGGAAGCGUUUGACACCAGUGUUGUUUUUCUGAAAAUCAAUUAAAGAACUGUUUAUGCUAAGUUGUUUAGACUUUAUCAGCUAACUGUUUAGCUUUGAGCUUUUCUUUAAUGCACUUUUCAGUUAACAAGUCAACAUCAAUUUCUUUUGCUGUAAAAAAGCUUGAGGAAGGUGGCUUGAGAUUCGUCUUAAGUGUUUAUAGCCUCUUGCCUAUGCAGUCGGAGAGAUUGAGGUCUGCAGCGUAGAUCCUUCGGGGCUAAAUGCAUUUGUGCUAAGUUAUAGCAUUUUAUAGACAACUUGUUGACUAUGAUUUGUCUUGUAGCUUACUCGCUUAUGUUAUUUUACCUACGCUUAGGAUGUUGAGCGCAUGUCUCUCUCU